UACAGAAGUCAUUCAGGUGGAGAGAGUGU
rnacentral:piRNA from 1 species